UUUUAUGUCUUGGUUGAGUUGAUCUGUGAUGCUAAUUAUGAACUUUCCUAACCAUUCUUUCUACAGAUGGCUGCCGGUCUUCUCUUCUCUCUGCUUCUUGGUCUGAGCUUUGGACUCUGGGAUGGAGCUGAUGCCGGAUGUCAACUGAAAGAUCCCACAGCAUUUGACUGCCCUGCAGGUUGGAGUUGGUUCGACCGUCGCUCGCUGUUUUGUGGUUGUAACUUUUCAAAAAUCCUGGGCUG